GAUCACUUUUGAUUGGUGAUAAUCAUGGGGAGUCCUCAAUAUUGAAUUGAAAAAGCAUGGGAAGUCUUUCUCGGUAGCCCGCUGGCAAAUAUUAGCCCCUUUAAACUAAUUCUGUUUUUUAUUUGUGCCUUGUCUUACACUUCUCUAAUUGUUUUUAACAAAAUUUCUACUUUUGUUUUUUGAGAGUCCAUGAUGAAAUGAAAACAGGAACUGCAAAAUGCUGUGAUCAGAAGAAAUUUUACUGAUUGAUAUUUCUUUCCCAUUUAAAGAAAUAUUUUAAAAGAGUUUGUAUAGCUUUUGAAAAGAGAGAGGAAGGGAGAAAUCAAUGACAUAUAAAAGUGCCAUCAGAUAACCAGAAAGGUUCACUGACACAUUGAUGAUCUCUGUUACGUAUAUCUAAGAGUUUCAACUCUGGGCAUGGUUCCUUUCUGCUGUAUCCUGUGUGAUAAAGAUGUUGGUGUCCCAUUGAGGUAGCCAAAAGCCUGCAGAGGUAGAUGUUAGUAUCAGAGCCUGCUUGAGGUUAAUUUGUGUACUGUGUUAGAAAAAAAUCAUUGUAACAUUGCUGUUGAAUUAUCUGGAUAUUCUACCUUUUCCUCUUCCUGCGAGGUAAGGUAUGUCAUCAUGUAGCUCUUCCAUCUGUCUAUACUUAAUAUGCUAUUGCUCUGGUUCAUUUGAGACUCAUGAGAUGAUAGAAGUGAAUUUUUAUUUAAUUUUGUUACUGUGAUUUACAAGUAACGAUUGGCUAACUCAGCUAUUUUGUGCUCCUUUUCAUUGUUCAGCCACUUACCUUGUUUUUGUUCUGUUCAAUAUCCAAUUUUAUUUUGUCCAUUUAAAUUAUGUGGAUAGCCUAUAUGUGUUAUGCAUGCUAGAUAUCUAUGAAUCUGCAUCUUAUUAUCUGUGAACAAUUUUUAGAGCUCAUUGAUUAACACUUUUCUCAAACAGCGAGGUUUAAAGGUUAUCUUGUAUAGUAUGCAUUUGAAAGUUUCAAGUUUUAUUAUAUUUUGCAUUUAU